CUUAAAUCAUCUCUUCUCCAACCAGGGAUCAAGGAUGUACAUCCAAAUGCAUAAUGAGAACGUCUUUUUCUUUUAAAAGGUGUGUUCAUCAUUCACAUUUGGACAAUAAUUGUAGCAAUUUAUUCAGCGCCUUAAACCUGACAACAAGAGAUGAUAACUAUAAAAUAAUUCUCCGUUAGGAAGUUUAAGUAAAUAUAAAACAUGAUUUUGAAAACACAUAGAAGAACAUAGUGACAAUGGCACAGUCUAGCUGUAUUUUCAUGUAGUGUCCGUGAGAUUAUUUUGACUGACCUCAAAGGGUGUACCAGUGGGACAAAAUAGAAGAAUUCUACCCUAUCAGGAAAGAGUAUUUUCUCACUAAAAGGUUGAAUAUUGCUGAAGCAUGGUUAUAACAUGAAUCAGAGUGAUUUUAUUUGGUUUUAUUAUUGUUUUUAAAUUCCCUACAGACGUAGAUCCCUGGAUAACCUGUGACUGGGCUGGACUGCUCCCACUGGCCCACCCUUGGUGCAUGGCUACUGACCUUACCACAUACAGAAUACAGUCAAAGACCCACGCCAGCUAUUCAAUAGACAGAGACUCUCAGUGGAAAAAGGAAGACCACUGUCUGAAGAUAAUCUUUAAAAUAAUCCAACAAUGUAGAAGCUUAAAACUCCCAGUGGUAAAAGAAGAAUAUGACCCAAGGAAUGUUAUUAAUGAUCACCUCUUCCUCUACAUUUUCCAAUGGCUUCUGAAAAGAUUGUAAUGACUAUACUUAUACCUAAACAAGUAAUAAAUAAAUACAUUUAGCUUCCUUACCGUGAGUAUUGAAUCAACAUUUGAAAACAAAGUAAUCAACCUUUGGCAAUUUGGUGAGUAAAAAAUUAUAUUUUAUUAAGCUUUCACUUUACAUUUUUAUUGUAAUUGAGGACUAAAUCUGUAUAUAUGUAUUGGACGUUACUUUCACUAUUUUGUAAAUUAUCUGUUUAUAUUUUUUACUGUUAGUAAGUGGAAUGCUCAUCUUAUUUACAUUAGUUAUAAGCACACUCUAUAUAGAUAGGAAGAAUGAUCAUUUGACAAGAUGAACUAUAAUAUGGAAAAAUCUUAAAAACAAAAUUGAGGGUUGCGUUAAUCUUUCUCUCACACACACAUAAACAUAUACACACAAUGCACACACACACACACACACUAUACAAAAGCAGCAUGGAGAAUUUCUGACCUAAUUGUACUUUAUUUUGAUUUCAAAAUCGAAAGUUUUCAGAUCAUAUAAAAAGUAAGUGAUGACCAACACUAAAAUACAUGAAAGAAAAAAGCCCACUUUUAUAUUUUUUAUAUUAAGAGAAAGCAUGUGUUCAAAUGUGGGAGGUAACAGUUUUACUCUUCUUUAAAUGUGAAAAAAAGCCCACUCAUAUUUGGAUGUACAUUUUAAGUGGGACAUUGACAUACAAAGGCUUUUCUGGAGGAGAGUGACCAGAAACAGAAUGGAAUUUAAAAUUAUAUUGUGUCAGGAUAAGUAGAAGUGGGAAUAUUUAUAUUUACAAAUGUAGUUUUUUCUUCUCUUUCCCACUCAGAAAAGGAGGCAGUGUGUACCAGAAUAGUCUAAUUUUGUGACGCUCUAGGGCCUUGAGCUGUGAUAGCCUCUAUAUGUGGUAGAAUUUUAACAGAUGAUUAUUGAGUGCAUGUAUAAAUGAAUGAAUUAAUGAAUCACCAAGUGAGCCAAGAUGGAUGAGUAGAAGUUAUGGUAUAUGUGUUUUUCACCAACUUUCUAAGCAUUAGAUUUUCCCAACAAAGGAUGUGCUUCCUUAAGCAAUAGUGAGCACCCUGAGAUUCUGACGCAUCUGUCAAACAUAGAGAAGAGAUUGGGUAGAUAGAGAGAGAAGCCAGCAUUCAACCAAAAAUUUAGUUAAGGCCACUAUUACCUUCAUAAUUGUUAAACUCUUUGAGAAAAGACAACUAUUGUAUAUCAUUUAAAAGUCAAAAAAGAAAUGAAUGGAAUUAAAUGGGAAGCUGAGAAAUAACAUAGCAAAAAUUCUAUGAUUUCAAGCCUGAGGUGAAGGCAAAAGGUUGAGGAAGAGAUUAUUCGAAAGCAGAGCAUUUGAAACUAUAUUUCAAGUGGGAAACCUGAGUGUCAAAAGCUCAGAUUUUAGAAUAUCUUGAAAUAAUUUAGAUGAGUGUAUACCACUUUUGCAUUAUAGAAUGGAAUCAUAAAUUUGAAUGUGAUACUUUGCCAAAAUGUUGAAUGAAUAGAAAAUGUUAGUGAAGUACAUUUCAUUCAUAUUCAAAUUUGGGAGGGGGGUUCUGUGGAUAAUAAAAAAUAAUAAAUAUAAGGUAGGUUUUUAUUAUCAGUAGGAUUCAUCAUUUAAAUAUAGCUGGCUUGAUAGAAUAAGUUAUUCUAGAAAAUGGGUAUCAUUGACAUAAGAAUCUUCCUCUAAACUUUUAUACCUAAUACAUUAACUGCAAUCAUGUUUCCAGCCAAAUUAAUCAAACAGAUAUAUAAACUAUUUAAGACGUUUGAGUAGGAGAGCCAGAGCCACUCUUUGUAGGCUCAGUCUGCCAAAAACCAUUGGAGGCGUCUCUAUUUCUAAUAUUAGAUACUACAAUUGGACCUCCGCCUCCUGCCUCCAGAUAACUACUCAGUAGGGCCGACUUUCAGCUUAUGUGAAGAUAGAGGAGAACAGGAUUUGUGACAUUCUGGGAUUUUGCCAAAAUUUAGUAGGUGGUAGAACCAAGGCUGAAGGCCAAGUGACAAAUCCACUAGAUAGCUGCACAAAACAUACCCUCAUGCUUUUGUUGAUUAAAGUGUUAUAUUAUUUUUCUGAGCAUGGGGGUAGGGAGGAAAUAGUCUACUUUUUUGAAAGUGUCUCUCCAAGAAAAAUAAUUCCAAGUUAAGGCUGGUAUACUGUGAGGGGGGAAAAACUAAAAUAAAAAGCUUAGCUGUAGUUCAUUAACUUUAAUUGGUUUUUGUUGCCUCUCCUCAGGUUUCCUGGAUCUUUCAGCCAUCUCCUCCCCCAACUCUCUGCUUCCCCUUCUUCUACCUCUCGCCUCCUCCCCCUCCAAUCUGGCUUUCCCUCCUUCCUGGCAGCAUUUUUAGCUUUAAUUUGAUAGUAAAAAACUGAAUCCAAAGUUACAAAAUUCUUUAGAUUCAACUUCUUUGAAAGAAAAAGAAGUUUUAGAAAAAGAAAGAUAUUGCAGCUUCUAACCAGGACUCCUUUAGAGGCACAUGUCCCCCACAUGUGGCAGGUGCCCUAUGAAGGGGAAAUGGAUAAUAUUCACUCAGGAAAUAAUUUCUGUAUUUAAAAAUGAGUUUUCUUUUUUAGCUCUUAGAACAGCCACUUUUCUGGGUCCCAGGGAUAAGAAGGGAACAAAACAAAGUCCCCAUUCUCAUGAAACUUACGGUCUACUGGAACAACAGACAAAAACAAAUGACCAAACAAACAUUAAAAAUUGUUAGUGAUAAAUACUAUGAAAAUACAUAAAGCAGGGAGAAGGAAUUAAGAGUGCUGGGAUGCUACUUUUGAGACUAUGGUCAACAAAACCUUUUCUGAGUGUGUGCUUCCUGAGCAGGUGCUUAAUGUGAGACUAUAAGCCACGUGACCUUCUGGAGGAAUAGCAUUCCAGGCAAGGGAACAGCACAUGCUGCAGUAAAAAGGUCAAUUUAUCUGGAGUGCAGUGAGCAAGAGGGAGAUGGGAGAGAAUGAGCUCGAAGAUACAUGCGAGAAAAAUAUUUAAAAAUUGAAUAUCUUUUAUAUUCAUUUCUUACCAUUAGAAAGUUAUCUGUAUGCUUGAGCAUUCUACAAUAGCCACCAAAUCUAUCAGGUUCUGAAUAAUUACUAUAUGGAAAUUUCCUGAGCAUUUAAUUCUGAAACACAUGCCUUUUAGAUCUCUGCUUCAAAGUUUCUACCCCAAUCAUUACAAAACGCUAAUCUUUUCAGAGUCUUAAUUCAAAAACGAAGUUCUAAUUUUGGUUUCAGGGUAAGAGGGAGAUGGGACUGAAAUGUACACCUAAACAAUGUAGUUGAUUCUUAUUUAGAUAACUGACCCAUCCAAAUUUAAUUUUUAAGUGAAUUUGCAUGAGCUACAUAUCUCUUCCACCUUUAAUUUCUACUAAAUCCCAUAUGGUUUGAGUCAAGUUGAUUCAAACAUAGUCCAUAACACCUUAAAUACACACACACGCAGACACACACACACUUACAAUUUUUAUACCCAAAUAGAAAUGUGUGUAUGGUAUGUGUAUCUUAUACCCCAAGCCCAUGAGAAACAAGAUUGUUUUUAAUUGUAGCUUCAUAGAAUGUAAGCACCUGCCUUUUUUAGAUUCAUUCAGAACUCCCCACAUAUAUAGAUUACUUUCAAACCAAAGCAAAGAGAAGGGAAUGUUAAAUUUCUUUUAGGUGUACUGGAUGAUUUCCAUUAGUCUUCACUUGUUUUAAGCCCAACACACACACAUGUGCUAAUUUUCAUCACUAGUGUAGUCCAACCUGAUCUACCCAGGCAGAAUUGUGCCUAAACCUCAGACUUAAUUCAAUGCUUCCCAGUGGAAGUAACAGCCAAAUUUGGAAGGAAAAAAAAAAAUUGGAGAAAUAAAACACUGCAAUAAUGACUAGACAAAGAAUACUGCUGUGGAGAACUGUGUUCUAGUUCUGGUGUAUGACCACUGGAAAGUUAUUUCACUUCUCUGGAUCUUAGUG
ensembl:lncRNA